rnacentral:rRNA from 1 species
CUACGGGGGGCUCCAGUGGGGAAUAUUGGGCAAUGGAGGAAACUCUGACCCAGCGACGCCGCGUGAGGGAUGAAGGCCUUCGGGUUGUAAACCUCUUUCAGUAGGGAAGAAGCGAAAGUGACGGUACCUACAGAAGAAGCACCGGCUAACUAUGUGCCAGCAGCCGCGGUAAUACAUAGGGUGCAAGCGUUGUCCGGAAUUAUUGGGCGUAAAGAGCUCGUAGGUGGUUAGAUACGUCGGAUGUGAAAAUCAGGGGCUCAACCCCUGACCUGCAUUCGAUACGGUCUAGCUAGAGUGUGGUAGGGGAGACUGUAAUUCCUGGUGUAGCGGUGGAAUGCGCAGAUAUCAGGAGGAACACCGAUGGCGAAGGCAGGUCUCUGGGCCAUUACUGACACUGAGGAGCGAAAGCGUGGGGAGCGAACAGGAUUAGAUACCCGCGUAGUC